AUUAUUGUUGUUAAUAUUAUUAUUAUUAUUAUUAUUAUUAUUAUUAUUAUUAUUAUUAUUAUUAUUAUUAUUAUUGUUAUUAUUGUAAUUAUUAUUAUUAUUAUUAUUAUUAUUAUUAUUAUUAUUAUUAUUAUUAUUAUUGUUGUUAUUUUUACUAUGGUUAUUUUUGGAAGGGCAUUGUCCUCUGCCCUUUACUUCCUUUUGAUUUAUCUUUUCAUUAAUUUUUUUCUAUAUUUACUUAACAACUAGGAUCAGUUUAUCGGAAUAUUAGACAAGAUAACGACCGACAACCUGUUUCAAAUCAACAAUUCAACAGAGAGAACAUCUUUAACUUCGACGGCACGCCACUAGGAUCGCCCCUAGCUAAGAUCAGUUUAUCGGAGUACCAGACAUCCGACAACCAAUUUCAAAUCAGCAAUUCAAAAGAGAGAACAUCUUCAACUUCGACGGCACGCCACCAGGAUCGCCACCAGCUAAGUGAAUUUUCCUCUUCCGUUUUCUUCCUUUCAUUGAUCUUUUUAUUUAUUUUUUUAAAUUUUUGUUUAUUGUGUUAUUAUAGUUAUUAUUAUUAUUAUUAUUAUUAUUGUAGUUAUUAUUUUUAUUAUUGUUGUUAUUAUAAUAAUAAUAAUAAUAAUAAUAAUAAUAAUAUUAAUAAUUAUUAUUAUUAUUAUUAUUAUUAUUAUUAUUAUUAUUAUUAUUAUUAUUAUUGUUAUUAUUAUUAUUUUUACUAUGGUUAUUUUUGGAAAGGCAUUGUCCUCUUCCCUUUGCUUCUCUUUGAUUUAUCUUUUCAUUAAUUUUUUUUUAUAUUUACUUUACAACAAGGAUUAGUUUAUCGGAGUAUCAGACAAGAUAACGACCGGCAACCAGUUUCAAAUCAGCAAUUCAACAGAGAGAAAAUCUUCAACUUCGACGGCACGCUACUAGGAUCGCCACCAGCUAAGUGCAUUUUCCUCUUCCGUUUUCUUCCUUUCAUUUAUCUUUUUUUUGAUUUUUUUUAUAAUUACUUUUCGUGAUUGUGAUUGUGAUUAUAAUUGUGAUUGUGAUUGUGAUUGUGAUUGUGAUUUUGAUUUUGUUUGUUUUUGUGUUUGUGUUUGUGUUUGUGUUUGUGAUUGUGUUUGUUAAUGCGUUUGUGAUUGCGUUUGUGUUUGUGAUUGUGUUUGUGUUUGUGUUUGUGAUUGUGAUUGUGUUUGUGUUUGUGUUUGUGUUUGGGUUUGGGUUUGGGUUUGGGUUUGGGAUUGGGAUUGGGAUUGGGUUUGUGUUUGUGUUUGUGUUUGUGUUUGUGUUUGUGUUUGUGUUUGUGUUUGUGAUUGUGUUUGUGUUUGUGUUUUUUUGUUUGUGUUUGUGAUUGUGAUUGUGUUUGUGUUUGUGUUUGUGUUUGUGUUUUCUGUUUGUGUUUGUGUUUGUGUUUGUGUUUGUGAUUGUGAUUGUGAUUGGGAUUGGGAUUGGGAUUGGGAUUGGGAUUGGAAUUGUGUAUGUGUUUGUUUUUGUGUUUGUGUUUGUGUUUGUGAUUGUGAUUGUGAUUGCGAUUGCGAUUGCGAUUGCGAUUGCGAUUGUGUGUGUUUGAUUGUGAUUGUGAUUGUGAUUGUGAUUGUGAUUGUGCUUGUGCUUGUGCUUGUGCUUUUGCUUUUGCUUUUGCUUUUGCUUUUGCUUUUCUUUUGCUUGUGCUUGUGAUUGUGAUUGUGAUUGUGACUAUAAUUGUGAUUGUGAUUGUGAUUGUGAUUGAAUGUGAUUGUGAUUGUUAUUAUUAUUGUUAUUAUUUUUAUUGUUAUUAAUAUUAUCAUUAUUAUUAUAUGAUUAUUAUUAUUAUUAGGGUUAUUUUUGGUUGUGUGUAGGUAUCCUACCGGCAAGACAACAACUAGGAUCAGUUUAUCGGAGUAACGGACAAGAUAACGACCGACAACUAGUUUCAAAUCAGCAAUUUAAUAGAGAGAACAUCUUCAACUUCGACGGCCCGUCACCAGGAUCACCACCAGCUAAGUGCAUUUUCCUUUUUCCCUUUCUUCCUUUCAUUCAUCUUUUUAUUUAUUAUUUUUAUAUUUACUUAUUGUAUUAUUAUUGUUAUUAUUAUUGUUAUUAUUUUUAUUGUUAUUAUUAUUAUUAUUAUUAUUAUUAUUAUUAUUAUUAUUAUUAUUAUUGUUUUUAUUAUUAUUAUUAUUGUUAUAUGAUUAUUAUUAUUAUUAUUAUUAUUAUUAUUAUUAUUAUUAUUAUUAUUAUUAUUAUUAUUAUUAUUAUUAUUAUUUUAUUAUUAUUAUUAUUGUUAUUAUUAUUAUUAUUAUUAUUAUUAUUAUUAUUAUUAUUAUUUUUACGAUGGUUAUUUUUGGUUGUGUGUAGGUACCCUACCGGCAAGACAACAACUAGGAUCAGUUUAUCGGAGUACCGGACAAGAUAACUACCGACAACCAGUUUCAAAUCAGCAAUUCAACAGAGAAAACAUAUUCAACUUCGACGGCAAGCCAGCAGGAUCACCACCAGCUAAGUGCAUUUUCCUCUCCUGUUUUCUUCCUUUCAUUGAUCUUUUUAUUUAUUUUUUUUUAUAUUUACUUAUUGUGUUAUUAUUGUUAUUAUUAUUAUUAUUAUUAUUAUUAUUAUUAUUAUUGAACCAACAAAACAAGAACAGUAGACUAUCAUACUCAUUAAUAGCUUCAUGGAACAACUUCAAUUGCACUAUAUAUACUCAUUAAUAGCUUUAAGGAACAAUUCCAGCUGCUGUUGUGUUUAAGUUGCUGCACUACAAUGUUAAUGUACAUAUAUUUCUAGCACAAACUACUAGCAAACUUUAAUUAAAUUAGGAAUCAGGUUCCCAUGACCAUUACACAUGUAAGGAAGAAUGUUGUUGCCCUUACUUGCAUAAUGAACCACACCCAUAUAUUAAACAAGCUUACCAAGAAGAUUAGCUUGCUCGUAUUACCAAGGCUACACUCUGCUUGUUGCAUUCUCCCCUUUUUAGAAAAAAUCCUUCCUCGAAUUUUUGUAGGAUGAACCUCAACAAAUCUACUAACAUGAACAAACUCCACAAAGUGUGUUUGUUUAACCACACGAUCAAUGUGAACAAACUUUCCCUCCGUAGCUUGCACAACAUGUAAACUAGUCCUCCAACUUGAAGGAUAAUUCACCACUUUCUAAGGUUGCAUCAAAGAAUCAACAUCCUCAACAUUAGUUGUCUCAACAAUUUCUUCAAGAUCAUCAACAACCUCUACACAAGAUGCCUCAACAUCUCCUUUAAGAUCAUUAAUCACCUCUGCACAAGAUGCUUCAACAAUUUCUUCACUACCCUCUUCAUUGCAUGAAUCUGGAUAUUCAUCAUAGAUAGGAACCACACUUGAAUACAAGUCGAGUUCCUCUUGUUUAGAAGCAAUUUCAUCACCUUUUGUCUCCACAAUGGAUGGUUCUUGAUUGUUAAAAGAAGAAAACAAUGGUGUGCUUUGUGUAUCAACAUGCUUUGAAAUGAUCUCAAAUUUAAUCCUAACCGGAUCAACAUCAGGAUAAAACUCAUGAACAAUUACCAUUUUAGAAUCCCCAUGUUGCUCUUGCAAUUGUUGUUGAAAUCUCAGCUUUUCUUGACGAAGUUCAAACUUCCUCUUCAAGCUUUGCUUUUGACUCCUAACAUCCACCAAUUUUUUAAGACAAAGACACAAUUGAGCCCAAUCCCUUUGACGGUAACAGUCCACUUUCAACCUCACAAGCCUUUCCUCCUCCAAAUUCAAUAUGUUUAGGUGAAGGUUUUCAAGUGCACACUCUAGUUUAUCCAAUGAUUUUUGUGUGUUCAUGUCUGCUUCCGUUGAUUUCAUAUUCUAAGGCUCAAGAAUCUCUCAAAAUUUAAGUAUGAGAGUAAGGGUAAGAGUGAAAAAGAAAGAAAAACAAAGAAAUGAAGUUUGGAAUUUUUUGUGCACAAAACAGAAAGAAAAUAGAACCAAACACCCCAAAUUCAGAAAUCUGUGUGAAAUGUUUGCUACUGAAAACCCGAACAAACAAAAUCCAAGUAUGAUGAAACUUGGUGACAACACACCUCAAGAUGUCUACAAACACCCCAAAUUGGAAAUACUCAAAUACGUGGUCUAGCUUGAUCAUAAAUCAGAUUUCACUACACACAUACAGUCUGAAUUGUUUCUGUGACCUUUGGUCAAAAACACUUGCGCAUCUUUUUGUUCACAACUCCAAUGACUACACAAAAAGGCUUACCAGAAACUAGACUCAAAAUGAAUCAAUAUGAAAAAAAGAAACAAUGAAAAAGACUCAAAAAUGAAGGAGACACAACGAAAAUACAGAAGACAAAUACAAAUGAGACUCUCUGUACUUUGAGAAACAACAAUGAAAUGUGUCAAUCAAGAAACCUAUGAAACGUAAGAAAAAGCGCAAAAAUGAUGUGGUUUAAUGAAUAUAGGAUAUUUAUUGAUAAUUUGGUGAAAGAUGAGAGAAAAAUAAAAGAAUCUUGAUAGGUUUUCGAAGACAACUUACCAAGGUACCCGGAUUUCAUCAGUUUUGGGCAGUCUGUAAAGAAAAAUUCAUAUCUCCUUAACCACAACACCAAAACUAAUGAUUCCAAAGCCAAAACUUUUCCAAUUCAAUCCGAAAUACCGUGUAAAAACAGUUUUGAAAACAAACCACAAUACGAUCCCCAAAACACUACUACUUUCGACCCCAAAUGCAGUCAGUUUCUGACAGCUUCUGUUUCUUCUUGUUAUUGCGACUUUUGUCUGUUGUUGCUCAUCAAAAUCGAUUGAAUUAUGAACCCCAAGGACUUUGAGGCUCUGAUACCAAUUGAUCUAAGUACGCGUGGUCAGCGCACGAAUUGGAUUUGAAACGAAGAUGAGGGAUAUUCCAAGAAACUGACACGAAGAAUAGGUGUAAGAACUGGACUGCCAGACUCCUUAAUCACUCAACUCUACGCUUCCUCCUUUGAUCUGCAAGGGAGUUAACAGCAUCUAUGGAUGGGGAGGAGUGGUGUCUUGAUGAACACACAAGAACACGCACAACCUUGAAGGGCAAAACUGGCCCUUAGUAACCCAAUUGCAAAGCAAUUGAAAGAAAAUUCACUUGAUGAAAUUUCAGAACAUUAUCAUUCAUAACUUCUCGUUACAAUGAACAAGCCAUCUAUAUAUAGACGUAAGGGAAGAGGGAAAUACAAUGAGAAGGCUAAUGACACGUCUAACUAACAAUAACGGUCAUAAAGGAGCACGUGCACAACAUGUGCUUCAUUAAAAAAUAAAAACAAGCUGCAAAAGUAUUCUGAAAUUCUGACAGAAGGGCUGCUGACCAGGCGACCUUCCACCCACUUUCUUGUGCUCUUCCCAAGGUUGAUAAUGGCCACUAAGAGUCUUGGUGGCAAGAUUCUAGUGUAGAGAUUCCAUUUCUAUCCUUGGUUGUCCCGUAGAUCAAAAGGUACGUUCAGGCCAAGGCUCACAAGGUCAGCUGGUCAUAAGAUCAGUGCUGUUUUGUUUCGAACCAGCUGCUGACUACACGACCUUGCACACGGAUUUCAGAGAGUUGUGUGAGUUAUUAAUAGGGCUCUUGGCCCUUAAUGGCUAGGUCCAUGUGCCAAGAUUCCAUUUCUACUGUAGCCCAGGUCGUGGAUGCACCGGUUUGGUCUUCACGUGUCGUGCAAGGUGGGCUGUUCGCUAGUUUUGCUGCUGUGCUGUUCUGCUGCUGUUUUCAGUGUUCUGUGUAUGUUCUUGGCUUUCCUUGUUCUUGCCUUUGUAUCUAUUUCUCCAUGAUUAAUUCAUCCCCCUUCCUAGCUGUCUUGGCUCUCAUUUCAUUCAAGAUCCAUGGGUGAAUCACUAAGUGCAGAACCAGAAUCAUCAGAAACAUUAGAGUAGCUUCAGUAGCUCCUGUUGCUCUUGUUGCUUCAGUUGCUAUCUCUGUCUUUGCGGUUGCUUCUUGAUGCCUUUGGGCUUACGUUUCUUCCUUCAUCUAAGCCUAGUUAAUUUGGCUCAAUGUCAUCUACAUACAUGCCUUCAAGGUCAUCUUGUAUUGAACCAUGUGAUUGAGAGAUGCACAUGACUUGGGAGAUGCAUGUGCAUAUGGUUGAACAACACACGUCCAUUCAUCCACUUAUUGCCAAGCUACCAAGAUCUAAACCAAUAUGGUUCAAUCCCUCCUUCUUGGAAAAAGAAUUGUCCUCAAUUCUUGACCUGUAUGUUGUGACUAGCUGAAUGUGUGCACAAGAUUGAUGUGUUGUUGCAUAGGACAUCUUCUGAAUUCUAUUGCACGCAAAUAAAUCUGCUGCUGCACCUUCUGUGUUGUCCUUAAUUCUUGAACCAACAAAACAAGAACAGUAGACUAUCAUACUCAUUAUAGCUUCAUGGAACAACUUCAGUUGCACUAUAUAUACUCAUUAAUAGCUUUAAGGAACAAUUCCAGCUGCUGUUGUGUUUAAGUUGCUGCACUACAAUGUUAAUGUACAUAUAUUUCUAGCACAAACUACUAGCAAACUUUAAUUAAAUUAGGAAUCAGGUUUCCCAUGACCAUUACACAUGUAAGGAAGAAUGUUGUUGCCCUUACUUGCAUAAUGAACCACACCCAUAUAUUAAACAAGCUUACCAAGAAGAUUAGCUUGCUCGUAUUACCAAGGCUACACUCUGCUUGUUGCAUUCACCCCUUUUUAGAAAAAAUCCUUCAUCGAAUUUUUGUAGGAUGAACCUCAACAAAUCUACUAACAUGAACAAACUCCACAAAGUGUGUUUGUUUAACCACACGAUCAAUGUGAACAAACUUUCCCUCCGUAGCUUGCACAACAUGUAAACUAGUCCUCCAACUUGAAGGAUAAUUCACCACUUCCAAAGGUUGCAUCAAAGAAUUAACAUCCUCAACAUUAGUUGUCUCAACAAUUUCUUCAAGAUCAUCAACAACCUCUACACAAAAUGCCUCAACAUCUCCUUUAAGAUCAUUAAUCACCUCUACACAAGAUUUCUAAGCAAAAAACUACCUUAAUUAAAAAAUUUUGCAAAAAACUACCUUAUAUAAUACAAUUGUUUGCAAAACACUACCUUAUAACAAAUUGUGGUCUUUGACCGCUAUCUUUAACCGUUGACCCGCAUGUGACACGCACGUGAUACUUUAAUUGUAUGACUUCUUCUUCAUUUCAGUUCAGCCCAUUCGAAAAUCCUUUCAAUCCUGCCAUUUCCAGCGACAACUCCAUUGAUGUAGCUUCUCAUUUCGCUCCCAUCCACCUCGUAACUUCAUCUCCUUGAAAUUUCUAAGCAAAUUCGGUAUCUACUACUACUUAAUUAUGGUUUUGUACUUCAUUGUUGUAUUUUAGAAAUAAUUUAAAAUUUAUUUCGUUUUUCAAAUUUGCUUCCUUUUGCAGCGAUUUUUCUAUUGAAUUCAAGCAACGGAGAUGUGGUAAUUAUGGUGACCUAGGUCACUACAUCAAAGGCUGCAAUAAUCCACCAAAACCACCACCAACAAAGACCAAGUCAAAGGGUGGUAGGCCUAAAAUGGGAUCUUCUUCUACUCAACAAUCUACAACAAAUGAUGUGCCUAGCUCCAGUGGUCAACAACAAACGCAAAAUGCUGCAUCUACUUCAUGUGUAAUGGAUCAAAAUAGUCAAAUAUAGACUUGUGAAGAGUAAUUUACUGUUGAAUGUAAUGUGUUGAAUUAGUAUAAGUGUAUGAGUUUCAGGUUGUAAUGUGUAUGAACUGAGAAUGUACUAUGUUGAACUGUAUUUUAGCAAAUCAGUGUAUGAACUGAGCAUGUAAUGUGUUGAAUUAAGUGCAA